AUGUUCAAGCAGAGGGUACAGUGGGUUGCGGGAGAGUGGAUAGCUGAAUAUAGAUGGGGGAAGGUGAUGGAGAUGUCAGUGAAGAUGGCGGAGGUGUUGGUGAAGAUCGCGGUGAUGAUGAUAGUCCCCGGUAGCGCUCCGUCGCCACCGGAAGCAAGUGGGAGAGAGCCCCCAUUCUUCUUCUUCUUCUUCUUCCUUGACCUUCUCCCUAGAUGGGAGAUGGGUUUCCCCUCUGGUCCUUGGCUUCCAUGGCAUGGGAGGGGCGAGAUCCCCUCCGAGAUUGGAUCUAUCUCUCUGUCCCUCUCUAUUUCUGCAUUCCCAGAUUCUGCCCUUUCACCAUUUCUUUUAUAUCCGGUUAUCCGUAACUCUGAUUGGGUUGAAUCUUUUGCCUAG
rnacentral:rRNA from 1 species